UACGUAGGGAGCAAGCGUUGUUCGGAUUUACUGGGCGUAAAGGGCGCGUAGGCGGCAAAUUAAGUCAGCUGUGAAAUCUCCGAGCUUAACUCGGAACUGUCAGCUGAUACUGAUCUGCUAGAGUGCGGAAGGGGCAAUCGGAAUUCUUGGUGUAGCGGUGAAAUGCGUAGAUAUCAAGAGGAACACCUGAGGUGAAGACGGGUUGCUGGGCCGACACUGACGCUGAGUGCGCGAAAGCCAGGGGAGCAAACGGGG
rnacentral:rRNA from 1 species